CAAUGGCGUAUAUUAAAGUUGUUGCAGUUAAAAAGCUCGUAGUUGGAUUUCUGGUGGGAGCGACCGGUCCGUUCCGCGAGGGAUGCGCACUGGUGUCGACUCCGGCCAUCCUUGGGGAGAGCGACCCUGGCAUUAGGUUGUCGGGGCCGGGAUCCUCAUCGUUUACUGUGAAAAAUUAGAGUGUUCAAAGCAGGCGUUCGCCGCUGAAUACAUUAGCAUGGAAUAAUAAGAUAGGACUUUGGUGGUCUAUUUUGUUGGUUUGCACGCCAAGGUAAUGAUUAAUAGGGAUAGUUGGGGGUAUUCAUAUUCAAUUGUCAGAGGUGAAAUUCUUGGAUUUAUGGAAGAUGAACUACUGCGAAAGCAUUUACCAAGGAUGUUUUCAUUAAUCAAGAACGAAAGUUAGGGGAUCGAAGACGAUCAGAUACCGU
rnacentral:rRNA from 1 species